UAGUUUCUAGGGAGAGAAAAUCUUUUUUUUAAAAAAAAAAAAAUCCUCUAAUCUAGGGUUUAAUCCCUUCGUCCAGGGAGGUGGCCUUCCCCCUCCUCUCCAACUCUUUCCUUUGUGAAGGCUUUCAUAUUGUUUUUAUUUGUUUUAUCAACGGAUCUGGUGUUUAAAGAAAAGAAUUAGAUGCUAGUUUUGCAGUGGAGAAGUGGAUUUAUUGUGGGUUUUAUGGGCUUGUGGUUAUUAUUAUGGAGAGUGGUGGCCAGAGUCCUUUUGGUUGCUUUUCAAUGGCAGAUAUGGAGAGAUGUUAGGGGCUGGAGGCAGGAGUGGAUUGUUUGGAAUCACUAGUGUUCGUAUUUGAGCACGAGAUCUGAUAUAUUUCAGCUGAUUAAUUGGUGGUGUUUUUGCCGGUUCAGAUCUUUUAAAACUAAGCAUCUAUGACAACGAAGUGAAACAAAGAGCCCACAAGUUUCGUGGUAAGCUAGGAAUUGUGACUAACGUCUGACGACGAUAGUUCCUCUCCUCCCGAGAAGACCAUAUUUAGAAUGUUCCCGGCGGAUGGAGGAAAAAAACAAUAUUAAAAUGUAUCGAUGGAGUCCUUUUUUUUUUGGGUUCCCAAGUGAGAUGAAUGUCUCUCGUCUGUAACAGUGAACUCUCCUAGUUUUGAGUUGUUUUUUAUUGACUUCCUGCUUUGUAAAUUGGAUACUAGAUCCGCCAUUAAUUAUAAAAUCUCAUUCUUGUUCAAGUAAUAUUUCGAAAUAACAUUAUUUUAC
rnacentral:lncRNA from 1 species